rnacentral:rRNA from 1 species
AAAUUGAAGAGUUUGAUCAUGGCUCAGAUUGAACGCUGGCGGCAGGCCUAACACAUGCAAGUCGAACGGUAGCACAGAGAGCUUGCUCUCGGGUGACGAGUGGCGGACGGGUGAGUAAUGUCUGGGAAACUGCCCGAUGGAGGGGGAUAACUACUGGAAACGGUAGCUAAUACCGCAUAACGUCGCAAGACCAAAGUGGGGGACCUUCGGGCCUCACACCAUCGGAUGUGCCCAGAUGGGAUUAGCUAGUAGGUGGGGUAACGGCUCACCUAGGCGACGAUCCCUAGCUGGUCUGAGAGGAUGACCAGCCACACUGGAACUGAGACACGGUCCAGACUCCUACGGGAGGCAGCAGUGGGGAAUAUUGCACAAUGGGCGCAAGCCUGAUGCAGCCAUGCCGCGUGUAUGAAGAAGGCCUUCGGGUUGUAAAGUACUUUCAGCGAGGAGGAAGGCGUUGUGGUUAAUAACCACAGCGAUUGACGUUACUCGCAGAAGAAGCACCGGCUAACUCCGUGCCAGCAGCCGCGGUAAUACGGAGGGUGCAAGCGUUAAUCGGAAUUACUGGGCGUAAAGCGCACGCAGGCGGUUUGUUAAGUCAGAUGUGAAAUCCCCGGGCUCAACCUGGGAACUGCAUUUGAAACUGGCAAGCUUGAGUCUCGUAGAGGGGGGUAGAAUUCCAGGUGUAGCGGUGAAAUGCGUAGAGAUCUGGAGGAAUACCGGUGGCGAAGGCGGCCCCCUGGACAAAGACUGACGCUCAGGUGCGAAAGCGUGGGGAGCAAACAGGAUUAGAUACCCUGGUAGUCCACGCCGUAAACGAUGUCUACUUGGAGGUUGUGCCCUUGAGGCGUGGCUUCCGGAGCUAACGCGUUAAGUAGACCGCCUGGGGAGUACGGCCGCAAGGUUAAAACUCAAAUGAAUUGACGGGGGCCCGCACAAGCGGUGGAGCAUGUGGUUUAAUUCGAUGCAACGCGAAGAACCUUACCUGGUCUUGACAUCCACGGAAGUUUUCAGAGAUGAGAAUGUGCCUUCGGGAACCGUGAGACAGGUGCUGCAUGGCUGUCGUCAGCUCGUGUUGUGAAAUGUUGGGUUAAGUCCCGCAACGAGCGC